GGUUGUAGCUCAGUGAUAGAGCACUUGCCUCGCAUGUGUGAGGCCCUGGGUUAGAUCCUCAGCACCA
rnacentral:tRNA from 1 species